rnacentral:tRNA from 1 species
GUCCGUAUAGAUUAGUAUUAAAUCAUGAUGCUGUUAACUUCAAGAUGGGCCUUGUUCCCUACGGUCG